CUGGCUUCCUUGUUUAAUAACUUUCAGAUGGCCUAUCAUGGCAAGUUCAUUAUAUUGGACCUUUCUAUCUUGGAAAAGGCAGUGGUGUGUCAUCAUUGGAAUAGGCAGUUACUCUGGGCAUGGGUUUGCCUAUCCUGCACACCAUGUUUCUGACAAGACUACCAUCCAUGCAUUCAUGGAAUGCCUUAUCUGCUAUCAUGGUAUUCCACACAGCAUUGCCUCUAACCCAGGCACUCACUUUACAGCUAAAGAAGUGUGGCAGUGGGUUCAUGCUCAUGGAAUUCACUGAUCUUACCAUGUUCCCCCAUCAUUCUGAAGCAGAUGGAUUGAUAGAAUAGUGGAAUGGCCUUUUGAAGUCACAAUUACAGUGCCCACCAGGUGGCAAUAUUUUGUAGGGAUAGGGCAAAGUUCUCCAGGAAUCUGUAUAUGCUCAGAAUCGGCAUCUAAUAUAUGGUACUGUUUCUCCCAUAUCCAGGACUCAUAGGCCCUGGAAUGAAGGAGUGGAAGUUGAAGUGGCACCGCUCACCAUCACCCCCAGUGACCCACUAGCAAAAUUCUUGCUUCCUGUUCCAGUGACAUUAUGUUCUUCUGGCCUAGAGGUCUUAGUUCCUAAGGGAGGAAUGCUGCCACCAGAAGACACAAAAAUGGUUCCAUUAAACUGGAAGUUAAGAUUGCCACCUGGCCACUUGGGGCUCUUCCUACCUCUAAGACAAUAGGCUAAGAAGGGAGUUACGGCAUUUGCUGGGAUGACUCACCUGGACUAUCAAGAAGAAAUCAGUCUACUACUCCACAAUGGAGGGUGUUGCCAAAGGAGAUUAACAUCGGAGUCAGUGGACUGGGAGAGACAUACCCACCUUCGAUCUGGGUGGGCACCAUCUAAUCAGCUGCCAGGACAGCCAGAAUAGAACAGGCAGAAGAAGGUGGAAGAAGAACUUGCUGAGUCUUCCAGCCUUCAUCUUUCUCCUGUGCUGGAUGCUUCCUGCCCUGGAACAUCAGAUUCCAAAUUCUUCAGCUUUUGGACUCUUGGACUUACACUAGUGGUUUUCUAGGGGCUCUCAGGCCUUUGGCCACAGACUGUAGGCUGCACUGUCUGCUUCCCUACUUUUGAGGUCUUGGGACUGGGACUGAUCCACUACUGGCUUCCUUGCUCCUCAACUUGCAGAUGGCCUAUGGUGGGACUUUACCUUGUGAUUGCAUGAGUCAAUUCUCUGUAAUAAACUCUCUUUCAUGUUUACCUAUAUCCUAUUCGUUCUAGUCCUCUGGAGAAUCCUGACUAAUUCAGUAUGUAUAUUAAAAAUUAUAUAUGAACUGUUCAUUUAUAACACAUAUAUGUUUUCCUGUACUUUAGAGAGUAGAGAAAAAAAUCUCUACCCUGUUUUGCCAUCAAUUCUAUCACUUAUGCCUGUUAUACCUAAAUAAUUAUUUAAAAUGUCUCAUCUUAUGGUAUUUUUUCUUGUUUCAUAGUAUUUGGCAGGAACUAACAUCAUUAAUUUUACCUAUAAAUUAUUACAUCAAAGUGAUUUCAAAUUUUACAUUUAUUAUUUAUUUUUAACUGUAUUUUUCAAAAUAAAAAUAUUCUCCCUACUGUUUGUGUGUGUAUUUUAAAACCGCAUGCAGAGGUUAGGUCAUUUAAAUUUCAUUAAUUGUUUUAUCUUAACUAUAGCUGAAAUAUAUAUGCAUGUAUAGGUGUAUGUGUGUAUAUAUUUCAUUUUACAUAUUACUAUGGGAAAGUAUAGUGCUAAGAGCUUAAUGCUAUACUAUGUAUUUACUAUGCAAAUAUUAACAAAGCAAAAAUCUUUUAUUCUUUUGUUUUCAAGGUUUAUUAAAAAACACAAUCUAAUUUGUUUGCUGCAUACAUAUCUCAGGAACAAAUUGUAUAAGAUUUUUAGAAAGAUUAAGCAAAGAAAUAAAUAAAUAAAAUAUAGUCAUGUGCCACAAAAUUAUGUUUUGGUAAAUAAUAGACCACAUAUAUAUGACUAUGGGCUCAUGAAAUUAUAAUGGAGCUCAAAAAUUCUUGACACCUGGUGACAUCACAGCUGUCUUAAUGUUAUUGCACAACACAUUACUCACAUGUUUGUAGUGAUGCUGGUGUAAACAAACCUACUGCGCUGCCAGUCAUAUAAAAACAUAGCACAUACAAUUAUGUACAGCACAUAAUAAUUGAUAAUAAUCCUAAAACUAUUGUGACACUGUUUUAUUAACUUAUUAUACUAUAGUUUUAAUCAUUAUUUUAGAGAGUACUCAAGAGAAUAGAGUACCACCAGCCCAGGAAAAGAUCAAAAUUUAAAAUUUAAGGUACUGUUUCUACUGAAUGCAUAUCAUCUAUGUACCAUCAAAAGAAAAAUUAUAAGUCAAACUGUUGCAAGUUGGUGACUGUAAGCAUAUGUGUGUUCAUGUGCAUAAAAAUAUAUGUAUACAAUACUUACGUGUACAUAGACAUGUAUAAUUUUUUUCUAAUAAUGACCAAAAUCUGGGCUAGCAAUUUUAUCUCCUAGGUGUCAUUUUAACCAUUUGAAAAUUGAGUAAUUGAAAAUUAUCAAAUAUUUGUGUAUAUAAUUAUCUUUUUUCUUAAUUUUUGCCAUAUGUAUAAAUAUAUAGGUGUGUAUAUAGUUUUUAAUGAGGUAAAUUUUACAGAGUGAAAUGCAGGGAUAUUAAGUGAACAAUUUGACAAGUUUUAACAGAGAUUUACAUUCUCAAACCUAACCCCCAAAAAGACAGAGAUUAUUUUCACUUUUUCAAAAAAUUUCCUUUACCCCUCUGGUCCCUCUGCAUUCCUCCUAUAAGUAACAAAUGUUAUGUUUUUUCUCAACAUAGUUAUUAAAUUUCAUGUGAGUAAAAUU
rnacentral:lncRNA from 10 species